rnacentral:rRNA from 1 species
UGCAAGUCGAACGCGAAAUUUCCCUUCGGGGAGAAAGUAGAGUGGCGCACGGGUGAGUAACACGUGGAUAAUUUGCCUUCGGGUGGGGAAUAACGACCGGAAACGGUUGCUAAUACCGCAUAAUGCAGCGGCAUCUAUGAUGACAGUUGUUAAAGCGGGGGAUCGCAAGACCUCGCGCCUGAAGAGAAGUCCGCGGCAGAUUAGCUAGUUGGUAGGGUAAUGGCCUACCAAGGCAACGAUCUGUAGCCGGCCUGAGAGGGCGGUCGGCCACACUGACACUGACAUACGGGUCAGACUCCUACGGGAGGCAGCAGUCGGGAAUUUUGGGCAAUGGGCGAAAGCCUGACCCAGCAACGCCGCGUGAAGGAUGAAGCAUUUCGGUGUGUAAACUUCACAAGAAUGGGAAGAAUAAGUGCGGGAUAAUACCCCUCACGACGACGGUACCAUUUGUAAGCUCCGGCUAACUCCGUGCCAGCAGCCGCGGUAAUACGGGGGGAGCAAGCGUUGUUCGGAUUUACUGGGCGUAAAGGGCGCGUAGGCGGCGCGACAAGUCACUUGUGAAAUCUCCGGGCUCAACUCGGAACGGUCAAGUGAUACUGUCAUGCUAGAGUGCGGAAGGGGCAACUGGAAUUCUCGGUGUAGCGGUGAAAUGCGUAGAUAUCGAGAGGAACACCUGCGGCGAAGGCGGGUUGCUGGGCCGACACUGACGCUGAGGCGCGAAAGCCAGGGGAGCGAACGGGAUUAGAUACCCCGGUAGUCCUGGCCUUAAACGAUGAAUGCUUGGUGUCCGGGUUUGAUAGUCCCCGGGUGCCGUCGCUAACGCUUUAAGCAUUCCGCCUGGGGAGUACGGUCGCAAGACUGAAACUCAAAGGAAUU